rnacentral:rRNA from 1 species
UUGACGGGGGCCCGCACAAGCAGCGGAGCGUGUGGUUUAAUUCGAUGUUACGCGAAAACCUUACCCGGGCUUGACAUGCAGGUAGUAGGGAACCGAGAGGGGACCGACUCUUCGGAGAGCCUGCACAGGUGCUGCAUUGGCUGUCGUCAGCUCGUGCCGUGAGGUGUCCGGUUAAGUCCGGUAACGAGCGCAACCCUCGCCAUAUGUUACAAGUGUCAUAUGGGACUGCCGACAUAAAGUCGGAGGAAGGUGGGGAUGACGUCAAGUCAGCAUGGCCUUUAUGUCCGGGGCUACACACACGCUACAAUGGCCGGUACAAUAGGUAGCAGGACCGCGAGGUGGAGCCAAUCCUUAAAGCCGGUCUCAGUUCAGAUUGCAGGCUGCAACCCGCCUGCAUGAAGUCGGAGUUGCUAGUAACCGCGCGUCAGCAAUAGUGCGGUGAAUACGUUCCCGGGCCUU